rnacentral:rRNA from 1 species
GACGAACGCUGGCGGCGUGCUUAACACAUGCAAGUCGAACGGAAAGGCCCUGCUUUUGUGGGGUGCUCGAGUGGCGAACGGGUGAGUAACACGUGAGUAACCUGCCCUUGACUUUGGGAUAACUUCAGGAAACUGGGGCUAAUACCGGGUAGGAGCUCCUGCUGCAUGGUGGGGGUUGGAAAGUUUCGGCGGUUGGGGAUGGACUCGCGGCUUAUCAGCUUGUUGGUGGGGUAGUGGCUUACCAAGGCUUUGACGGGUAGCCGGCCUGAGAGGGUGACCGGCCACAUUGGGACUGAGAUAUGGCCCAGACUCCUACGGGAGGCAGCAGUGGGGAAUAUUGCACAAUGGGCGGAAGCCUGAUGCAGCAACGCCGCGUGCGGGAUGGCGGCCUUCGGGUUGUAAACCGCUUUCGCCUGUGACGAAGCGUGAGUGACGGUAAUGGGUAAAGAAGCACCGGCUAACUACGUG